rnacentral:lncRNA from 12 species
AGGAGGAAGCGGUUGGCUUGCUCUGACCUGGCUAGCUCCCUCCCCCCAAGACACACACAGGCAGAUCUGGAACGCCACGGAGAAGGAAGGCCAGUCUGUGUCCCCGAGUCCUGCCCAGGGCAGUUGGGAGCCACGACGGAGCCCACGGAGCCCGGGCACUGGGGUCGGUGCUUGCCCCCGCCGCAGGCACCCAGGAAGUCCACAGGCCCGGGACUGAGCGUCCCCAGGAAAACUCUGGAAACACAGCCUGCCAAAGACCUCUCGCGUCCUGGUUUCCUCUUGGGGCAAGAAAGGAAGGAAAGGAAGGAGAAAGGAAGGAGACAGGAGAAACGAAAGCGAAAUGAUGGAGGGAAGGAGGGAAGGAAAGAAACCUGGUGCAAGUGUGAAAUCAAAAUAAUAGACUCAGGAUGGUGGUCAAGCGUUGCCUGCCCGCGUGGGUGCUAAGACCUCGAGGGUGUCUCCCACCCGACCCCGCGAGGCCCCUCGUUGUCCUCUUGGUCUGUCACCCUCUAGCCCAGGUCAUAUCUCCUCCGUGCUCUGCACAUGUCCGUGUAUGUAUCACAGGAGGUUUGAAUGGCAGUCAGGACUGGCAAAAGUUGGACUUUCAUUGUGAGCUGAGGAAGGAGGCUGGGGAAGGAAAUGGGAAGAAAGUGGAUAUGCUGAUAGGCAGGCUGGUGCUUCUCCAGGAACCUAUUGCCUCCAUUUCCCAGAUCCUGGUUUUCACACAGCCUUUUCAGUUUGCCAUCUGAUUUGUUCCCAGUGUAACUAUGACGGUGGGUGUGAGCCGGUUCCCCAGGCACAUGGUGACUACCACCUCCUAAGGAGAACUGGUUGUGUCGUUUUCCACCCUUCUUCUGCCUUGGUUCUCUGUGGAGAGUGAGCCUUGGGUUUGCACCUACUCAGUGUGAUUCUACAAUGAGGCCUAGUAAAUCAGUCCCUCUGCCCACCCCCCGCCCUCGGGGCCUGGACUGUCGCUGCUAAUCAACCACUGCGCUCUUCCCACGGCCCCCUCCCCCCCCAACCUGGGAAGCUUCCUGAACACCGUGCUGAAGCCAGUCACUGCUGAUUCAUCAGCACAGCAAAGCAGGAAAGCUGAUGCUAAUCCCAGUUCUGCCUUGAACUAGCUGUGUGAACUUGGACGGAUCAUUUCCUUCUCUGAAGCUCAGUUUCCCUAUCUGAAAUGGGAAAGGGAAGGAAGGAAGGAAGGAAGGAAGGAAGGAAGGAAGGAAGGAAGGAAGGAAGGAAGGAAGGAAGGAAUUAAGAAAGAAUAAUCUUUAAUUCCUUCUAGUUCUAAAAGUGUCCCUACCCUCAGCAUCCGCCCUACCCCCUCCAUGUACGCACACUCUCCCACCAGGUGGGCUUCCCACACCCAAAGCAGGCUCUGUUCUGUUCCUCUCCUGGGGCUUGUCCAAAUGAUCAGAUUUUAUCAAACAUCCUGGGGUGGUUACGCACUAAAUAAAACACUCUCAGAUGCUCA